CAUACCUUGUUGAAAUUGACUUUGGUCUUGUUAACAAGUUGGGAUUUGGAAAUGGAGAGGAAAUUUUUUUGAUUUUUUUUGGAAGUGGGGCAGUGGGGUUGUUGAAGAAAAAUUUAAGUUUGUGAAAAUAAGAAUGAACUGAAAAUAACCUAAACAGAACUUAAAUGGUUCUGCCACGCUCAGUUUGCUGGGCGAACUCUGUUCGCGGCGCGAACUGAAGUUUUCCAUUCAGUUCGCGAGGCGAAAGC
rnacentral:lncRNA from 1 species